UACAGAGGGGGGCAAGCGUUAUUCGGAAUUAUUGGGCGUAAAGGGCGCGUAGGCGGCUUGGCAAGUGGAUGGUGAAAUCCCUCGGCUUAACCGAGGAACUGCCGUCCAAACUGCUUUGCUUGAGACCGGGAGAGGUGAGUGGAAUUCCCAGUGUAGCGGUGAAAUGCGUAGAUAUUGGGAGGAACACCAGUGGCGAAGGCGGCUCACUGGACCGGUACUGACGCUGAUGCGCGAAAGCGUGGGGAGCAAACGGG
rnacentral:rRNA from 1 species